GAGUUUGAUCAUGGCUCAGAUUGAACGCUGGCGGAAUGCUUUACACAUGCAAGUCGAACGGCAGCACGGACUUCGGUCUGGUGGCGAGUGGCGAACGGGUGAGUAAUAUAUCGGAACGUGCCCAGUCGCGGGGGAUAACGUAGUGAAAAUUACGCUAAUACCGCAUACGAUCUAUGGAUGAAAGCGGGGGACUCGCAAGAGCCUCGCGCGAUUGGAGCGGCCGAUAUCAGAUUAGGUAGUUGGUGAGGUAAAGGCUCACCAAGCCCGCGAUCUGUAGCUGGUCUGAGAGGACGACCAGCCACACUGGAACUGAGACACGGUCCAGACUCCUACGGGAGGCAGCAGUGGGGAAUUUUGGACAAUGGACGAAAGUCUGAUCCAGCCAUUCCGCGUGCAGGAUGAAGGCCCUCGGGUUGUAAACUGCUUUUGUACGGAACGAAAAGGUCUCUCCUAAUACGAGAGGCUCAUGACGGUACCGUAAGAAUAAGCACCGGCUAACUACGUGCCAGCAGCCGCGGUAAUACGUAGGGUGCAAGCGUUAAUCGGAAUUACUGGGCGUAAAGCGUGCGCAGGCGGUUAUAUAAGACAGAUGUGAAAUCCCCGGGCUCAACCUGGGAACUGCAUUUGUGACUGUAUAGCUAGAGUACGGUAGAGGGGGAUGGAAUUCCGCGUGUAGCAGUGAAAUGCGUAGAUAUGCGGAGGAACACCGAUGGCGAAGGCAAUCCCCUGGACCUGUACUGACGCUCAUGCACGAAAGCGUGGGGAGCAAACAGGAUUAGAUACCCUGGUAGUCCACGCCCUAAACGAUGUCAACUGGUUGUUGGGUCUUAACUGACUCAGUAACGAAGCUAACGCGUGAAGUUGACCGCCUGGGGAGUACGGCCGNCAGGNUUGAACUCAAAGGAAUUGACGGGGACCC
rnacentral:rRNA from 1 species